UCAAGAAAGAGGUAGGGGAAGGAGGCAUAGGGCUGUGCUUCCUGGGUUCAGUCCCCAGUGCUUGGCAUGGGAGGCAGGGUAUUGCUUGUUAAACUGAAUUUAAACUCACAGAAAACAACCCUAAAUGAGAGGCCUAUCUUAAGGAAGUGAACAGAGGUGACCAGGUGAGAUCCAGGCCAGCAGGCCUUGGUCAGCUCUAACCCUGGCUCUGUUCCCUGUUUGCAGUGUGAUCUCAGCAAGAAGGCCUUGCCAGAUGAUGCCCUUAUAUCUUGGACUUCCCAGCUUCCAGAACUCUGACAAGGUGACCAGAAUGGCUGCCGUGGUCUCCCCACAGCACCAAGCCUUCUACCGCCACUGGGGGCCAGGUCAGGCUGUGGCCCCUGAGAGCAGCCUGGCUCCAGAACCCCUCAGGAAGAGUCUCACCAGAGAAAGGCCUCUCCUGGGUGCCAUGGAGUGACAGCGAGCUUCACAGAGAAGAGGCUUGAUGUGCGAUAGAAAAGGAAGACCACAUCACAAGAAGAGGAACAGCAAACCUUCAGGCACGAGGAUUUCAAGGAACACACCCAUGAUGAUACUGGACCAGACUGAAAGAGCCCAGGGGAUGUCACUAGCCUCACAACAACCCUGUAGGGGCCACAUGGGAAAGACUUGGUGCAAGAGGGACCAGGCGCUUUCCUUUCAAGUACAGUCCAAGAUGGAGGUUUCAAACAGCCAUACUUGGGGAGCUGACGUAUAAAUUUCAGUCUCAGGGUACAUUGCAGGCCAUAGUCCUUGAAGGAGACUCUGAUUGGGUCCCCAGGUCCUUUAGUCCAAUAUUGAGCUCUCCUAUUGGACAAUUCCCCACACCAUACUUCUCUUUGACAUCUUGAGCCAAUUAGCUGAGGCAAGGCUGAGGGGUCACCUUGGGAGGUGCCAUUUUCCAGAACUUCUAGAACUCUUGAAGUUUAUACCUUGAACAGACUCAUUUACUAGAGAUACUCUAGUUCUCACACAUGCCCAUAUUUAUGAGGCUAGAAUGGUGUCCAUAGCCCUGGAGCAGGUUUUGUGUGUCUAGCAGUCUGACCCACCUCAGGACUAAGGAGGAGACUCACCU